rfam:Ailuropoda melanoleuca scaffold1890_17, whole genome shotgun sequence.
AUCUGGUUGGCUCAGUCAAUAGAGUAUGAGAUUCUUGAUCUCAGGGUCAUGAGUUCAAGUCCCACAUUGGGCA